rnacentral:rRNA from 1 species
AGUGAACGCUGGCGGUAGGCCUAACACAUCCAAGUCGAACGGCAGCACAGUAAGAGCUUGCUCUUACGGGUGGCGAGUGGCGGACGGGUGAGGAAUACAUCGGAAUCUACUUUUUCGUGGGGGAUAACGUAGGGAAACUUACGCUAAUACCGCAUACGACCUACGGGUGAAAGCAGGGGAUCUUCGGACCUUGCGCGAUUGAAUGAGCCGAUGUCGGAUUAGCUAGUUGGCGGGGUAAAGGCCCACCAAGGCGACGAUCCGUAGCUGGUCUGAGAGGAUGAUCAGCCACACUGGAACUGAGACACGGUCCAGACUCCUACGGGAGGCAGCAGUGGGGAAUAUUGGACAAUGGGCGCAAGCCUGAUCCAGCCAUACCGCGUGGGUGAAGAAGGCCUUCGGGUUGUAAAGCCCUUUUGUUGGGAAAGAAAAGCAGCAGGUUAAUACCCCGCUGUCCUGACGGUACCCAAAGAAUAAGCACCGGCUAACUUCGUG